rnacentral:tRNA from 1 species
GGGGUUGUAGCUCAAUGGUAGAGCAUUUGCCUUGCAUGUGUAAAGCAUGGGGUUCAAUUCUCAGCACCACCU